UAUAAAAGUGAACAAUUUAUCAGUGAAUAUUAACCAACAAAAAAAGGACAGAAUUAUACUUUUUAUUUAUUUUAUACAUAAAUUAAAUUUUAUUCACUGAUGAUAAGAGUAAGAAAAUUUCACGUCGAUACAUUACUUUGAAAAAUUCAAAUUUACGAAAGAAAAUUUCUAAAAUUAAUUUAGAAAAAAUAAAGUAGAUCACGAAAUAGAUUGGUUUUGUAUCGGGGAGAGGGCGCCACCGAGAAGUUUUUGAAGGGUGCGAAUAGUUUUAAAAUUUCCCUCGCAAACAAGAUAAGUUUGCAGCAAAGUUUUCAAGUAGAAAUAUAUCAAAUUAAUUUACACAUAUAAAUAUAUAUAAUUAAAUAAUAAAUAUCGGUAUAAAGUAAAUUAUUAAUUUUACAUAUGGCGGAACACAACUGUGGGUUGGUAUCUAAGUUUUGGAGUGAUUGCUCUAUCAACGGUUAUAACUCAUCCAAAUAUUGUGAUUUUUAUGCAAAAACUAUAAGGAGAAAGCUACUUUUAUCUCACCCAGUAUAUAUGCAAGUGACUCAAAAGUUACAAGGCAUUAUAAAGGGUUAAGAAGAAAUUGGUAUGAAACUGCAAGCAGAAUGGCAGGAUUUGUCGUUUGUCAAAGUAAAAGGAUUGAUGGGGUUGCUUGAAUUGGAAAAAAGUAACAGGAAAUAAUAUUACGAGUGAGUUGUAUCUUAUUGGGCACGCGUGCCGAACGUAAGUCACGCUAACCUUCUUAAUUUUUCGAUUCGACGAAUUCGUCGGUCCUUUUACCGGUGAAUUUCGCGGUAAUUUCAAGACUAUAUUACCUUGGCACACCUGUAUAUGUCGUAGGAGACAUAUGUUACUUAAAUACGGCCGAUCGUCUUCUACGAAUUCUCUUGGCUGGUUGCAGACCGCGUGCAAUUUUAUCUUCUACAGUGUUCAACUUGUCCAUUAUUCAUUGACUUUUCUCUCUCUUUUUCUCGUCUCGUAUGUGUAUAUAUCUACUUACUUACGUACACUUACUCUUUUAUAUACAUUGGCGCCGUAUAAUUAAC